UUAAAAUGAUGAUCUCAUUCAGUUCUGCUUCUGAUAUGUCAUUGAAGAAAACUUUUACCCACAUUCCUGAGUU